AUAAAUAAUUUUAAAAAGGAGUUGUUUAAGUAAUAGCCCACUUCAUAUGCAUGAACGAAUUGUUGGCUAUCUCAGCCUUGCUCUUUUAGUAGUAACUUUGAUCUUGUUCUUUCUAGCUGUUUGUUGUGGCCUGCCUUCUGCCAUUGGGAAUAGUCAUUAGCUGAGCUGUCAAUUGGAACAAGAUGGGGAAACAAUAUAAAGAUAACUUACAUGCUCUUUUUGACUAUAGAUUGAACUCUAUACACUGCCCUUCCUAAAUCUUCUAAAAGAAGACUCUGGGGCUAUGUGAUAGAGGCUGAAACUAGAGAAAAAAUGCCAGACUGAAGAGUAUAUGAAAUUGAUCACCUCAACGGGGGAGGGGCCUCAAGAGUGAAUUUCCUGAGGAGAGAAGACUCUGGCUGGAGAACAAUUAGGUUCUCUCCAUCUUGAGAUGUUGAAGAGAGAAGGUGGAUAAAGACUUUCUCUUGAGGGUUACUUAUUUUUUCCUGCUGGUUACUGGAAAUCUUUCCCCCCAACAUUUCCCAACUGAAGGGACUUUUUGAAGAGAAACCUGAGCAGACUUUACCUCAACUCCUAUUGCCCAGGGGGAGUGAAAAAGAAUGAAGGAAAUAUCUUACAUGGAAAUCAACAAAAGUGAGCACUACAGAAUUUCUAUGGUAUCCAUGUUUGACACUCCAUUUCCUGAUAUGAGUACACCAUCAGAUUGUGCAUUGUCAUUUCUUCAUCCACUUAUCCAUCCAUCUAUUCAUUCAUUCAUUCACUCAUUGUCAGAUGCUCUCUCAGCAUGGACAUAGUGGAAAUAGCCUCUGAACCUGCACUUAAGUCAGUGCUGGAACUAUCUUAUGCCUCACUAUUUGUGUGGCCUUGGGCAAAACACUUCACUUCUCUAACACUCAGAGCCUUCAACUCCUGCAUAUCCUUGAGGAAUACAUAUUUUUCUCAGCUCUUCAAAAGAGAAAGGGAAAAAGGAAGUGGCAAAUUCCCAAACACAUGCUCAACAUUCAAGACAUUUCUUGUGAAAACUGUUUUAAUUUUUAUUGUCAUGCAAAACCAGUUCCAUAUUGGUCAUUGUUGUAAGAGCAAACUUAUAGCCAAAGCCUCAAAAUAAAACCAUAAAUACACUGAUGUGAAAGACAAAUCAAACAGUUCUAUCUCUGGAGGUGGAUAGUAUUCCCUAUCAUAAGUCUUCCACAGGUUCCCUUUAUACACAGGGUUGUCCCUUUGCUAAAAGGAGCCAAAUUUUCACAAAUAAUUAUGAUAAAAUAUGGCUGUUACUGUGUAUAAUGUUUUCCUAGUACUGCUUAUUUUGCUCUACAUCAAUUCCUGAAAAUCUUUCCAGUAUUUUUUCUGAAAUCAUCUGGCUUAUCAUUUUUUAUAGCACAAUGGUAUCACAUUACCAACAUGUACUAUGCUUUGUUCAGUCAUUCUCCUAUUGAUGGACAUCCCCUCAACUUCCAGUUCUUUUACAACAUAAAAAGAGUAGCUAUGGAUAUUUUUGUACAAGUAGGUCCUUUCCCCUUUUUUAUUAUCUCUUUGGGAUAUAGAGCCAGUAUUGAUAUUACCAGACCAAAGGGUAAGCACAGUUUUAUAUCCAUUUUGGUAGAGUUCCAAAUUUCCCUCCAGAAUGAUUGGAUCAGUUUACAACUCCACCAACAAUGCAUUAGUGCCCCAAUUUUUCCAUUUCCCCUCCAAAAUUUAUCACUUUCCAUUACAGCCAUAUUGACCAAUCUGAUAAGUGGGAUAUGGUGCUUAAGAAUUGUUUUAAUUUCCACAUCUCUAAUCAAUAGUGUUUAGUGGCUUUGAUUUCUUCAUCUGAAAAAUUGCUUGUUCAUAUAUUUUAACCAUUUGUAAAAUGGGGAAUGGCUUGUAUUCUUAUAAAUUUGACUUAGUUCUUUAUAAAUUUGAGAAGUUAGACUGUUAUCAGAGACAUUUGUUAUAGUUAUUCUCCCCUUUUGUUGUUUCCCCUAUAAUUUAAGUUAGAUUAGGUUUUUUUUUUUCUUUUUGGUAUAAAGCUCUUUUUAAUUUAUUAUAAUCAAAUUAUUCAUUACUCUCUUAUUUCUAAUUUCAUCAUGAACUCUACCCUUCUCCAGAGAUAUUCCAAGUGAACUCUUCUGGGUUCCCCUAAUUUGGUUAUGGUGUUAUUCUUUGAAUCUAAAUCAUAGCAUUUGAGAUAUUGAUCUGAACCUAACAUCUGCCAUAGUGUUUUCCAAUUUUCGCAGGAGUUUUUGUUAAAAAGUGAGUUCUUAUUCCAAAAACUUGUGAUAUUUGGGUUUAUCAAACACUGGGUUGCUAAGGUCAUUUACCCUUGUAUAUUGUAUAUCUAAUCUGCUGCAUUGAUCUAAUGUUUUAUUCUUUAGCUAGUACCAGAUUGUUUUCAUGAUUGUUGCAUUAUGGUACAAUUUGAGAUCUGGUACUGCCAAGACUCCUUCCUUCACAUUUUUUAUUAGUUCCCUUGAUAUUUUUGACCUUUUGUUCUUCUUUGUUAUUAUUUUUUCUAGUUUUAUAAAAUAAUUAUUUGGUAGUUUGGCACAGCAAUAAAUAAAUUAAGCAUAAUUGUAAUUUUAAAAGACAUUUCUUAAAACAUUGUGUGUAUGUCAUAAUACACCAGGUACUGGGACAAUAUUUAAAAUUUAGCACCUGCCCUCAUGAAAUGUACACACCUCACCAGGAAGUUAAAUAAAACUAUUGUCCACAGGUGGUAAAAGAUGCAAAAUGGGACCUACUGUUAUUUACUGACAACAUGGAAAGAAGAGUUUUGAAGUGACCUAUAUCAUACUAUAAUAAUCAUGCUAAAUGGGGUAAAGAAAAUACAGGACAAAUUAUUUCUUCUUCAAUGCCAAUUAUUCAAGCAAUUACAUAGUAAUUACACAAAUACAAAGGUCACACAUGGCAAAACAGUGUGCCAUCUCAACCUCUCAUUAAAGAAACAACAGAACAUAAUAGAGAAGUUGAAAUACAAAUACUAUUUAUGAUAUAAAACAUUACUUUAGAAAGUAAAAUUCCAAUAGACUUCUGGGUAAACAUGGCUGCAGUUUAGACACAGGAAUCUACCUCUCCUCAUUGCCUACCAAUAUAAAAUACCUCAAAAGGCCAAAAAAAAAAUCCUGAAUUCACUUGAAUGAAGGGACUCCACAGUAGGGCUCAGCAUUGAAGGUAGAUGGAAUUUGGGCAUUUCCACACUAUAAAGGGGUGAAAUAGCUUCCAGCAAAAUGUGAGCUGAUCUACCCUCCCUUUCCCCACCUACAGAGGCAGUGUGAUAGAUUCAGAGCCAGCUUUCAAUAGAAUCAGUGAGUGAGUGAGGGGCACCUCUAGGUUUUUGACAGCUGACUAAGACCAGAAAAGGUCUACCCCUCAGAGCAUCUGGACUUGAGACCCCAAGA